ACACCUUCGGGUUUAAGCUCCAAAUUCUUAGUGUUUUUUUUUUUGAUAUUUAAUUGAAUUUUUCGGCUAGUUUUAAGAAUAAAGUGUAUCAUAUUUUAAGCAUAAAAUUAAAGCAAAAAACUAUACAUAUAACGCUUGGCUAGGUGACCAGAAAUACCACAAGAACACGACACUCUUCGCACCUCUUCGAAUGGAUAACUUGGUAAUAAUAUUGCAAUUUAGGAUUAAGUUAUUUGUUUGCUCUACAGUCUGGGACAAAACACAUAAUAAUAAUAAAAGAAUUCAGAUCCUCUCUCUCCGUGCUAAAGAAUUCUCUAACAACGACAACACAUUAUACACAUGGCUCUUAGAAGGCUCUUGGUAAGACCAAUUCAAUGAAGGCGACACAAAUGGAAACCAUCUACACAUAUACUCGAAGCACACUUACUGGGACGAAUAUUGCUACCGAAACUACUUCUGGGAUACUCGCACCGGAAUAUUAAUAAUAAUAAUAUAAUAAAACAAAGUUCAAAUAUAAUAAUAAACACUUGAAACACUA